CGGGACACGUGGUAUCCUGUCUGAAUAUGGGGGGACCAUCCUCCAAGGCUAAAUACUCCUGACUGACCGAUAGUGAACCAGUACCGUGAGGGAAAGGCGAAAAGAACCCCGGCGAGGGGAGUGAAAAAGAACCUGAAACCGUGUACGUACAAGCAGUGGGAGCACGCUUAGGCGUGUGACUGCGUACCUUUUGUAUAAUGGGUCAGCGACUUAUAUUCUGUAGCAAGGUUAACCGAAUAGGGGAGCCGAAGGGAAACCGAGUCUUAACUGGGCGUUAAGUUGCAGGGUAUAGACCCGAAACCCGGUGAUCUAGCCAUGGGCAGGUUGAAGGUUGGGUAACACUAACUGGAGGACCGAACCGACUAAUGUUGAAAAAUUAGCGGAUGACUUGUGGCUGGGGGUGAAAGGCCAAUCAAACCGGGAGAUAGCUGGUUCUCCCCGAAAGCUAUUUAGGUAGCGCCUCGUGAAUUCAUCUCCGGGGGUAGAGCACUGUUUCGGCAAGGGGGUCAUCCCGACUUACCAACCCGAUGCAAACUGCGAAUACCGGAGAAUGUUAUCACGGGAGACACACGGCGGGUGCUAACGUCCGUCGUGAAGAGGGAAACAACCCAGACCGCCAGCUAAGGUCCCAAAGUCAUGGUUAAGUGGGAAACGAUGUGGGAAGGCCCAGACAGCCAGGAUGUUGGCUUAGAAGCAGCCAUCAUUUAAAGAAAGCGUAAUAGCUCACUGGUCGAGUCGGCCUGCGCGGAAGAUGUAACGGGGCUAAACCAUGCACCGAAGCUGCGGCAGCGACGCUGAUGCGUUGUUGGGUAGGGGAGCGUUCUGUAAGCCUGUGAAGGUGUGCUGUGAGGCAUGCUGGAGGUAUCAGAAGUGCGAAUGCUGACAUAAGUAACGAUAAAGCGGGUGAAAAGCCCGCUCGCCGGAAGACCAAGGGUUCCUGUCCAACGUUAAUCGGGGCAGGGUGAGUCGACCCCUAAGGCGAGGCCGAAAGGCGUAGUCGAUGGGAAACAGGUUAAUAUUCCUGUACUUGGUGUUACUGCGAAGGGGGGACGGAGAAGGCUAUGUUGGCCGGGCGACGGUUGUCCCGGUUUAAGCGUGUAGGCUGGUUUUCCAGGCAAAUCCGGAAAAUCAAGGCUGAGGCGUGAUGACGAGGCACUACGGUGCUGAAGCAACAAAUGCCCUGCUUCCAGGAAAAGCCUCUAAGCAUCAGGUAACAUCAAAUCGUACCCCAAACCGACACAGGUGGUCAGGUAGAGAAUACCAAGGCGCUUGAGAGAACUCGGGUGAAGGAACUAGGCAAAAUGGUGCCGUAACUUCGGGAGAAGGCACGCUGAUAUGUAGGUGAAGCGACUUGCUCGUGGAGCUGAAAUCAGUCGAAGAUACCAGCUGGCUGCAACUGUUUAUUAAAAACACAGCACUGUGCAAACACGAAAGUGGACGUAUACGGUGUGACGCCUGCCCGGUGCCGGAAGGU
rnacentral:rRNA from 1 species